CGCAUGGUAGGAGAGCGUUCCGUAAGCCUGCGAAGGUGCCUUGUAAAGGGUGCUGGAGGUAUCGGAAGUGCGAAUGCUGACAUGAGUAGCGAUAAAGGGGGUGAAAGGCCCCCUCGCCGUAAGCCCAAGGUUUCCUACGCAACGUUCAUCGGCGUAGGGUGAGUCGGCCCCUAAGGCGAGGCAGAAAUGCGUAGCUGAUGGGAAGCAGGUCAAUAUUCCUGCACCGUCGUUAGAUGCGAUGGGGGGACGGAUCGCGGAAGGUUGUCCGGGUGUUGGAAGUCCCGGUCGCUGCAUUGGAGAAGGCGCUUAGGCAAAUCCGGGCGCAGGAUUCAAGGGUGUGGCGCGAGCGCUCUAGGGCGCGAAGCAAUUGGAAGUGGUUCCAAGAAAAGCCUCUAAGCUUCAGUCUAACGAUGACCGUACCGCAAACCGACACAGGUGGGCGAGAUGAGUAUUCUAAGGCGCUUGAGAGAACUCGGGAGAAGGAACUCGGCAAAUUGGUACCGUAACUUCGGGAUAAGGUACGCCCUUGUAGCUUGACUGGCCUGCGCCAGGAGGGUGAAGGGGUUGCAAUAAACUGGUGGCUGCGACUGUUUAAUAAAAACACAGCACUCUGCAAACACGAAAGUGGACGUAUAGGGUGUGACGCCUGCCCGGUGCCGGAAGAUUAAAUGAUGGGGUGCAAGCUCUUGAUUGAAGUCCCGGUAAACGGCGGCCGUAACUAUAACGGUCCUAAGGUAGCGAAAUUCCUUGUCGGGUAAGUUCCGACCUGCACGAAUGGCGUAACGAUGGCCACACUGUCUCCUCCCGAGACUCAGCGAAGUUGAAGUGUUUGUGAUGAUGCAAUCUACCCGCGGCUAGACGGAAAGACCCCAUGAACCUUUACUGUAGCUUUGCAUUGGACUUUGAACCGAUCUGUGUAGGAUAGGUGGGAGGCUAUGAAACCGGAACGCCAGUUUCGGUGGAGCCGUCCUUGAAAUACCACCCUGGUUUGUUUGAGGUUCUAACCUUGGCCCGUGAUCCGGGUCGGGGACAGUGCAUGGUAGGCAGUUUGACUGGGGCGGUCUCCUCCCAAAGCGUAACGGAGGAGUACGAAGGUACGCUAGGUACGGUCGGAAAUCGUGCUGAUAGUGCAAUGGCAUAAGCGUGCUUAACUGCGAGACCGACAAGUCGAGCAGGUGCGAAAGCAGGUCAUAGUGAUCCGGUGGUUCUGUAUGGAAGGGCCAUCGCUCAACGGAUAAAAGGUACUCUGGGGAUAACAGGCUGAUACCGCCCAAGAGUUCAUAUCGACGGCGGUGUUUGGCACCUCGAUGUCGGCUCAUCUCAUCCUGGGGCUGUAGCCGGUCCCAAGGGUAUGGCUGUUCGCCAUUUAAAGAGGUACGUGAGCUGGGUUUAAAACGUCGUGAGACAGUUUGGUCCCUAUCUGCCGUGGGCGUUGGAUAUUUGAAGGGGGCUGCUCCUAGUACGAGAGGACCGGAGUGGACGAACCUCUGGUGUACCGGUUGUGACGCCAGUCGCAUCGCCGGGUAGCUAUGUUCGGAAGAGAUAACCGCUGAAAGCAUCUAAGCGGGAAACUCGCCUUAAGAUGAGAUAUCCCUGGAGGCUUGACCUCCUUGAAGGGUCGUUCGAGACCAGGACGUUGAUAGGUCAGGUGUGUAAGCGCAGUAAUGCGUUCAGCUAACUGAUACUAAUUGCCCGUAAGGCUUGAUCCUAUAAC
rnacentral:rRNA from 1 species